UGCAAAGCAGCAUCGCGGUGGCGGAGCGUCGUUUGCGACGCCCAACACACAAAACAAGCGGUGAAUGCUUUGGGGUGGGGUGACUGCGUACCUUUUGUAUAAUGGGUCAGCGACUUAUAUUCUGUAGCAAGGUUAACCGAAUAGGGGAGCCGGAGGGAAACCGAGUCUUAAUUGGGCGUUAAGUUGCAGGGUAUAGACCCGAAACCCGGUGAUCUAGCCAUGGGCAGGUUGAAGGUUGGGUAACACUAACUGGAGGACCGAACCGACUAAUGUUGAAAAAUUAGCGGAUGACCUGUGGCUGGGGGUGAAAGGCCAAUCAAACCGGGAGAUAGCUGGUUCUCCCCGAAAGCUAUUUAGGUAGCGCCUCGUGAAUUCAUCUCCGGGGGUAGAGCACUGUUUCGGCUAGGGGGCCAUCCCGGCUUACCAACCCGAUGCAAACUGCGAAUACCGGAGAAUGUUAUCACGGGAGACACACGGCGGGUGCUAACGUCCGUCGUGAAGAGGGAAACAACCCAGACCGCCAGCUAAGGUCCCAAAGUCAUGGUUAAGUGGGAAACGAUGUGGGAAGGCCCAGACAGCCAGGAUGUUGGCUUAGAAGCAGCCAUCAUUUAAAGAAAGCGUAAUAGCUCACUGGUCGAGUCGGCCUGCGCG
rnacentral:rRNA from 1 species